CACAGGGGUACCAGAAUGAUAGCGAUGCCACAAGGGAUGAUAAUGGCCAGAGCCCAGCCAGGAAAACCUCCACUUGUGGUAUUGAAAGGAGUGGUCAGCAAAAGAGUAGGAGGUGGUGUGGUAGCUUCUACAGUUGUCGUUGUGGGUGCUGCUGUUGUGGUGGUUGUAGCAGCUAUAUUUGUGGUUGUUGUAGCAGCUUUCGUUGUGGUUGUCGAAGGAGAUGGAGUUGUGGUUGUUGAAGGACCUGCCAUUGUAGUGGUUGUAGGAGCUACAGCUGUUUUAAUUAAUGCAGCAUUAUCAUCUGCAGUUGUAGGAGCUGCAGAUGCAGUUGUAAGAGUUGCAGCUGUAGGAGCUGCAGUUGCACUUGUAGGAGCUGCAGUUAUCAUAGUAGCUGCAAUUGUGGUUGUUCUAAGAGCUGUAGUUGUUGUCGUAGUAGAUGCUGCAGUUGUAGGGGUGGUAGGACCAAUGGUUGUUUUAGUAAGAGCUGAAUUGAUUGUCAUAGCAGCUUUUGUGGUGCUGGUUGAAGGAGCUACAGUUAUUGGAGUAAGAGCUUUAGUUGUUGUUGUAGGUAUGGUAGAUGUAGUGGUUGUAGCCGCAACAGUUGCUGUAGGAGCAACAGAUUUCAUUGUAGGUGCGGCUGAUGUAGGGGUCAUAAGAGCUAAAAAUGUUAUAGUAGGAGGUGCAGUUAUGGUUGUAGCUUUAGCUGCAGUUGUGGUUGUUGUAAGAGCUGCAGUUGUAGUUAUUGUAGCAGGUGCUGCAGUGGUUGUCGAAGUAGGUGACGAAGUUGUAGUGGUCGUAGGAG
rnacentral:lncRNA from 1 species